AUUGAACGCUGGCGGCAUGCCUUACACAUGCAAGUCGAACGGUAACAGGUCUUCGGAUGCUGACGAGUGGCGAACGGGUGAGUAAUACAUUGGAACGUGCCCGAUCGUGGGGGAUAACGAAGCGAAAGCUUUGCUAAUACCGCAUACGAUCUACGGAUGAAAGCGGGGGAUCUUCGGACCUCGCGCGGACGGAGCGGCCGAUGGCAGAUUAGGUAGUUGGUGGGAUAAAAGCUUACCAAGCCGACGAUCUGUAGCUGGUCUGAGAGGAUGAUCAGCCACACUGGGACUGAGACACGGCCCAGACUCCUACGGGAGGCAGCAGUGGGGAAUUUUGGACAAUGGGCGCAAGCCUGAUCCAGCCAUGCCGCGUGCAGGAUGAAGGCCUUCGGGUUGUAAACUGCUUUUGUACGGAACGAAAAGGUGCCUUCUAAUAAAGGGCGCUCAUGACGGUACCGUAAGAAUAAGCACCGGCUAACUACGUG
rnacentral:rRNA from 1 species